rnacentral:rRNA from 1 species
GCCCAAAGGCGAGAUAAGUCGUAACAAAGUAGGCGUAAUGGAAAUUGCACCUGU